rnacentral:rRNA from 1 species
GACAGAGGUGCCGAGCGUUAGGCGGAAUCACUGGGCUUAAAGCGUGUGUAGGCGGACGGGUAAGUACCUUGUGAAAUCCCACGGCUCAACCGGGGAACGGCUGGGUAUACUGGCGGUCUUGAGCCAUCCAGGGGCAGUCGGAACAGACGGUGGAGCGGUGAAAUGCGUAGAUAUCGUCUGGAACGCCGAAGGUGAAAACAGCUCGCUGGGGCCGCGCUGACGCUGAGACACGAAAGCCAGGGGAGCGAACGGGG